GACUCGGCUGAGUUGAUUGGUUUGGUGCUGAAUCGGUCGAGUCAAGCCUUGACUCGGCUGGUUUGGUACUAAACUAAUCAACUCAGCCGAGUC
rnacentral:pre_miRNA from 1 species